UACGUAGGGGGCAAGCGUUGUCCGGAAUCAUUGGGCGUAAAGCGCGUGUAGGCGGCCACGUUAGUCCGUUCUGAAAGCCCGGGGCUCAACCCCGGGAGGCGGAUGGAUACUGCGUGGCUCGAGUCCGGAAGAGGCGAGUGGAAUUCCUGGUGUAGCGGUGAAAUGCGCAGAUAUCAGAAGGAACACCAAUGGCGAAGGCAGCUCGCUGGGACGUGACUGUCGCUGAGACGCGAAAGCGUGGGGAGCAAACAGG
rnacentral:rRNA from 1 species